rnacentral:rRNA from 1 species
GACAGAGGAUGCAAGCGUUACCCGGAAUGAUUGGGCGUAAAGCGUCUGUAGGUGGCUUUUCAAGUCCGCCGUCAAAUCCCAGGGCUCAACCCUGGACAGGCGGUGGAAACUACCAAGCUGGAGUAUGGUAGGGGCAGAGGGAAUUUCUGGUGGAGCGGUGAAAUGCAUUGAGAUCGGAAAGAACACCAACGGCGAAAGCACUCUGCUGGGCCGACACUGACACUGAGAGACGAAAGCUAGGGGAGCAAAUGGG